AUUUAUUUUAGUUAAUUACUUACCUUUUCAUUUUUUGUUUUUGUAAUUUGGCAUGAAUUGGAUGUUAUAGAACUGAGAACUCGUAUGAAUUUGGUUUUUUCCUUAUGUGUUUUUCUGCAAUGGAGAGAAUUCUGAAAAGAUGAUUAUAUAAAAUUCAUACGAGUGCAUACAGUGCUCUAAUUUGAAUUUGAACAAAAGGCUGUUUGGAUGGAAUGCAUUUUGCAAACUUGAAAUGAGAAAUUUGCAUUUCUGCCCAAGUUCAUGAGCAGUUACAGGCCAGGUCUGGGCUGGCCCAAUUGUUAGAAAAGCCUGGGCUCAGGCCCAGGUCAGCCUAUCUACUUAUCGGACUUCAAUCUCAGGUUCAGGGCUACCUAUUUUCGGGCAUGGAUCAGUCGUUAUCAUGGUUUGGCGUAUCAUCUGAUACUGGUAUUUGUCAAUGAAUGAUACGGUUGUAUCGGCCCAAAACAGCCCAAUACAGAGCAACAUGGGGUGAUACGACCGAUAUUGGUGGUGACUGAUGCGGUUCACCAUAGCCGAUUUGCAAAUGUUGAUACUCAUAUAAAAUUUUGUAAAACCUAAGCUCAGGCAGCUGGGCCCAACCUGUUAUCAAUUGGGCUUCAAAUCUGGUUCCAUACCCAACCCACGGGCCUCUUGUACAAGCCUGUCUCUGACCCACAUUACACCAGGACUUGAAACCAACGAGCGAGCCUGGCCUAUUCCCCACUAUUUCUUGUAGGAGUAGAAAUUAUAAACUAUACUGCUCGUGGUUCUGGUGCAGAAAUGCUUCUUUUAGGAGAAUCCUGUGUGGAUGAUGAUGUAUUGUGGACAAUUGGGUUUUUGCUUGGUUUUCUCUUUGUAAAUUACAUGGAAAUUGGAGAAGAGUGCUAAUGUGAGUUGUGUUCAUAUAUAAUUUAUAGAAAGCUUUUUAUGAACUCCUCUACCAUACGGACCAUUAAUCAAACUAAUCAGAACUGUUCAGGUUCUUCUACCUCAAGCAAGAGCCUAUCUACAUUUCUACACUGUUUCGACUUCUUUUAACUUACAGUGUUACUGAAUGCUUUCAUGUAUCUGGGCUUCUCCCGAUUUUUCCACGGGCGUGUUCCUGCUGCUGUCUUUAAGAGAUUGCCUGCAUCAGAAUUCAUGAUUUUGGACCAAACUGCCCAUCUCUGUAGGGAACACACUUCUUGAGGUGUUCCAUGGUCAGAGGUGCAGUUGGAGAUCGUUUUCUGGGAAUUAGAUUGCUGAGACCUCCUGGUAUAAAUGGAAAGCAUUGAAAGAAUAAUGUUGUUGGUAGGGUCAUAUAGAAUGUGAAGCCACAGUAUAAGAGUUGUCCACCUUUCGUUAUAGCUGGAAGGUUGGCCAUUGCCCAUUCUCCAUCCAAGAGAGAAAUCAAACUCAGCUCCAAAGUAAGCAACUGAAGAGCAUCAACGGUUUGUGAGCAUUUUCUAGAGAUGAAUAAAUGUUUUAAAAAUCCCCUGGAACAGGUAUGUAUUGCCCAAUAUGUACAAGUAUCAGUGUCUAACGAUGCGGUACACCCCAUUUGUACAUGAUAUUAGGGGGUGACUUGACCCCAAUAGCUGCAGAGCCGUCUGUGUUGAGCUGACUCAGAUGAGUCAGGUGAAUCUAGUCAAGUUGACCAUGCGAUUCACCAAUGGAUAGUUAGUCGUAGUUUUGUGAGGCCCACAGUUAUGUGUAUUUGAAAUCCACUGUGACUAUAAGGUUCACCCCACUUAUGGUUGGCAAUGGGCUGGGCCCAGCAAAAUCAAAAUUGAAUGGGCCUGGCCUGGUUAGUUCAAAAUCCAGGCUCAAGCCCAGGCCCAGCUCAUUGACAGGCCUAGUCUUACCAUGUUUAGCCUUCAGCCAAAGAUCAUGCCAAUCCAUAAAUCAGGUGGGCUACAAAACAGGGAUGAAUGGGGAGCGCCCACGAUAGAACAUAAAAUAUGUAGUGUGGGGCCCAGUAUGGUGUGUAACUGUAUAUAUGAAAUCCAACCCAUUCAAAAGGUGUAGCUAACUAGGAUGGAUGAAUCCCCACAAAAAAAAAAAAAGUAAGUUCAAGCUGAUCCAAAACACAGGUGGGCCACACCAGUUGAAUGUAAAGGUUUGGUCUUAUUUUUACAUUUUUCAUAUGGUGCAGCCACAUGAUUUUGGAUCAGCCUGAUUUUUUGGAGCUUCCCUUCAUGGUGGGAUGCACUUGAUGCACGAUCACUUACACACGCAAACAUCAGUGGGCCUGAAAACACACUACUGUGUGGUUUACCAAUACCAUAUGAGUGGGGGUGCUGCAAUGAGGGAUGUACAUGAGGAGUUAACAAAGAAUGAAAGAGGAGUUAUUUGAUGCUCUGCUCCACUAUGACACUCAAUACAGAGAGACUGAAAUUGUACAUGAGGCACAAAUUAGUUCAAAUUAAACUGGCUAAGUUGUGGAACCCACUUAUAACUUAUUCAGUCCCAAAACCAGAUUGGCUGAACAGUUCCAACCUCUGAUUUGUGGACACUUUGUUGAAAUAGGACUAUUGGAUUAUUUUUUCCAUUGUUAACUGUCCAUAUUUUUUCAUUUUUUAAGUGUCCAACAAAUGGCCACCAACCUAAUAGUCAGAUAAUCAAAUAAGCAUUAUUGUUCUUUUAUGAUACAUCUAAACUAGGGCCCAUAACAUGGAUGCUUCAAUUUGGAUUACUCGUAUGCAACAUGCAAUUUGUACGUUUCUGCAUAUAAUCCACCACACUUGGCCAGGAGAUCAAAGUUAUUCACCAGUUAUGUGCUUAUCUGCUCAUAUCGGCUGAUACCUAAUGGUUUCGGUGUGGACCGAUGUGGUACACCAGAACCCAAUAUUAUUAAUAUUGUCCUUGAUAGAGUGGCAUGGCAGAACAGAAUACAUGUAGCUGAUCCUAAUUAGUUGAAAUAAGGCUUAGAUGAUGACGAUGAAUAAUAUUUAUUUUAAGCAUCAUUAGUAAUCUUCCUUUUUAAUGAGUUUAGCAAAAGAACCUGGUGACACCUACUUACCUAAUUUGAGUUUCAGGAGUAUAUAUUUUGAAAGUUGAAGUUGUUCUGUCGUGAUUUAACCUUUCCACAAAGUUUCUGGUGUAUUUGUUGUUUUUUAUGGUUUGAUAUCAACUUAAUGGGUUACUAUCUAACAAUUGAUAGGUAAUGGGAAUGCAUUUACACUUAGCAUGGUGUCUUCUUAAGGUUUUCCUUUUCUUUUGAGUAGUUCUGGGCAUAAAUGCCAAGUGAUUUAUAGUGUUUCUG